CUGGUGGUGGCCAUGGCCGUGGCCUGCCCGGACUGCCCUUCGCCGAAGCCACCGGCGCCGAGGCCGAAGCCGCCGACGCCUCACUACGGCGGCGGGUCGUCGUGCCCGCGCGACGCGCUGAAGCUGCACGUGUGCGCCAACGUGCUGGGCCUCGUCAAGGCCAAGGUCGGCGCCGUGUCGCCGUACGAGCCCUGCUGCUCGCUGCUCGACGGCCUCGUCGACCUCGACGCCGCCGUCUGCCUCUGCACCGCCAUCAAGG
rnacentral:misc_RNA from 1 species